CGCAGAUCACCCGAGGACCCAGGAGGUCACCAGGAACGUCCCGAGGAAACAUGAGGCCCUGCGCGGCGGAGAUGGCUCUGCGCCCCGGGACUCUGCGCGCCCGCGCGGCCGCCACCAGUGGCUUUGUUGGGCCGGCCAGUUGCCUUGGAAACAAGAGAACCUAAGCCAGGGCUGGACUCCUGCUGCAGACAGGGAGCAGAGCACCGCACCUUGAAAUACGGAGAAAAACCUGAAAACGCUGAGAGGUGUAGUGACAACUUGCAUUCAGCUGUUUCAGAAACAUUGUUGACCAUCUACUCAAUGUGAAGAUAACGAAGAUGAAAGCCUUUAUGAUGAUCUACUUCCACUUAAUAAAUGGACUAUUUUUCUUUCCUGCCCCACACCAAUAAGAAACAAGGAUGCAACAAUAACAAUGACAACAGACCUAAGUGGAAUCUUGGAAGCAUGCUAGCAAAGCUGAUGCUUCCCCCUGCAUAAGCUAGCUAAGACCAGGCACGGUGUAGGAGGAAAAGAGACAAGAUUGUGACUCAAAAGUGUAGACAGAGAAUUCACCAGAAGGACAGACCCAGGAAGGUGGGAUCCUCACCAUGCUAGAAAAAGAAUAUCCAUCUCAAGGGUAAGGAGGGGAUGAAAGAGAGACAAUAGAUUCAUCCCCUAGGGAUAAAAUAAUUGAAUGUCUUGCAUACAUAUAUAAUAUAUACAGCAUAGGAAAAAAAGUUACUUGUGACUAUACGAAGCUAUUUUUAUAUCAUUUCCUUUAAUCUUCAAAACAACUCAUUAAUAAAUAUUGUCACUAGAGGAAAUUGAAAGCUUAAACAUCAUGCCCAAGGACAUACAGCUACUAACUGCUGGAGUUAGAACACACUUCCUCUGACUAUAAAUCCACUGUCCUCUUUCCAACUUAGUUUAUAACCCAUGAUUUAUUUGCUUUUUUCUGCAUUCUAAGAACUUAAUAAGUAAAAUUACAAAUGCCUUACCCAAUUGUUCAAGGAAAAAAUUUAUUCUCCCCUUAUUCUCUACUAAUUUCAUAUAUGAAACACCUAAUCGUGUUGCUAGGCUCACAGCUUGCUAUAUCCCCUUUAGGAAAGAAAAAAUUCUGCCACUUAUGUAUAUGCAUUUUUAUUUUCCUCCCUGUGAGAUGUCCUUUUCCUGAUACAAGUCCUCCCUAAAUGUCAAGAUUCAAACACAUCAUUCUCUGUCCAUUUUCUUAGCUAAGGGGCAGUAGUCUCGGUGAAGGUGAUUUAAGCCUAGAGCUAAAGAGCCCUAGGUAGUAUCAUGUGUUUUGAGUAAAAAACUGUUCAUUUUUUUCUGAGCCUUGAGUUCUCCUCCCAAGGACUACUUCCUGCUCUCCACUUCCGUAAGAAAAUGUUUCAGCCUGUUUGGAACCAGCAACAUAAGAAUAGAGAAAGAAAGGGCUUGUGAAAGAUGGACCCAAUUAUAGCAGUCUGCAUUUUCUUAUAAUACUGGUGACAGCAGCAAAGUUGUGAAGCUGCUUUUAAGUCUAUGAUAAAUAGGCUUAAAUAGAAAAAGUUCUGCGGGUCCAAAGUCAAUAAAAAUGUGCAUAAUGUACUUGGAGUUAGAUAGUAAAUGAGGUCACAAAUGCACUGAAAGCGGAACUAUUGGAAAGCCAUGGGUGUAUUUAGGUAGAUACUACUUAAAAAAGAGAAAGAGAGAGAGAAAAAAAAAUAAGAAAAAGUGAGGAGAGAUGCCAGAGGAAAUUCGGAAAGCAAGAAAUCUAUGUACCAUGUCAACCUCUACCUUUGAUAGGGAAAGCAGCUCUUUAGGGAGUUAUACAUCCCCCAUCUUGCAAGUGUAUCAUCUCUUCUCAGUCAGUAAAAUAGCUUCUAUCAUGAUGAGCCUCUUUAUUCUCCUUGAAACAAUUCGACCCAUAGAACAAAAAUGCUGCUUGUCUAUGAAAGUCUUUACCAGGAUCCAUGAGCCCAAGGCAUUUCCCUAGAAGCAGUCUUUCUCAAAUUUAUGGUCCAUGAGAAUUACCUAGGAACUGCAAAAUGCACAUUUUCUAACUUCACCCCCAGAGAGUCUCAGGGGGAGCUUCAAACAUUCACAUUUUUAAAGGUCCCCUGUAGAUUCCGAUGCAGGCUCUUUUUUGCCACACCUGAAACUUAUAGGCAGGAAGAAACAAAUGCUCAGAGCCCUUCCUAUGUACCAGUUACAGUUCCAAGGGCUUUCUCUGUUCUCCUGUUGUUUUUAUUAAUAACUCAUUAACUUAUCACAACCACACUCCGAGGUAGAUGCUAUGAGACCCAUUUUACCAAUACUGGUAAAAGUCACAGUUAGUAAGUAAACAUAAUUCAAGUCUCUGGUCUGUCUCAUUGCUGUGCUCUUUUUCACUCCGACACAUAGGAGUAUGACUGUCUAGGAAAAUAGGUUAACAGAGGAGACAAAGAACUCAGGAAGCAUACAAUUAUGUGCACAAGAUGUGCUGACAAAGGACUAUAAGUACAGUCAAUAAGAAUUAGUGGUGGAUUUUCCAAUAACCACAGACCCUGAUAAGUCUAUAGGACCAACCUACAAAAGGAAGUUGGGUGUUGGGUGAAGGACUUUAUUGGAAUCCAUCUAAUGUGGACUGUGAGAGAAACGUUAAGUUGCCAAGGAGAAUAAAAGCUUCAUGUGGCUUGUUCACUAUGGGAAAUGAAAAGUCAAGAGAAAAGUGGGACUUCAGAGGAUGAGGAGUGAAAUAAGCCCUGGAGCCAUCUGUGGAUGUAGCAUAAGAUCCAUAAGCACAUUAUUUCAUAGGAUUUGCAAUAGCCAAAGGUCUUGGAAACCAAAUCGCAAAGAUCAAGAGAGAGUUUUAAGAAACAGUGGGGCAGAUAAAUUAUAUUUGUUGAAUCUAAAGGAGCAGCCACUAAUCCAAAGAAAAAAAUGGAAUUUAUUGUGUUCUGCUAAUCCUGAGUCACAUAGAUAUGAUGCAAGAAAAAGAAAAGAUGGAAUGAACCAAUCCCAGCUGACCUGGCAUAUUCCCAGGUACUUUCAAGUAUGUUAUCUUAUUAAAGCAUCACAAAAUCCCCAGUAUGUAGGCAGAAUAGACAUCAGUAUUCCCAAUUUCCAGAAAAGGAAAUUAAAGUAACAAUACUGAUUACUGUUGUUAUUUUUAAAGGUAAUUCUUGAAGUCAUGUUGUUAGUAAAUGUAGGAUCUGGGACUGCACACAGGCAUUCUGACUCCUAUGUUAGUGCUCUCUUCAAAUAUUGACAUACACAGAGGCAUAGACACUACAGAACUCAAUUCUGACAGAAAGUUCUGGUGUCCACUGCACCUAUGUAUUGUGUAGGUGUGGUGGUUUUAAAGAUACAUCCAUACUGUUUUCAAUAUUCUUCUCUUCCAGUGGUGGAGUUUACUUCCCCUUGCCUUGAGUGUGUAUUGGACUUAGUGACUUGCUUCUGGACAACAGAAUAAUGCAGAAGUGAUGGAAUGUCACUUCUGAGUUUAGGUUACAAAAAGACUGUGGCUUCUGUCUUGGGAGGGCUCUCUCACACGCUCUCCUUCUUGGAUCUUGCUCUGAAGGAAACCAGCAGCCAUGCAUGAGGAUACUUCAGCAGCUUAUGGAGAAGUCCAUGUGGUGAGGAACUGGGGCUAGUCCACAACCACCUGAGUGAACCUGAAAGCGGAUCUUCCCCUCCCUCAAGCAUUGAGUUGACUGCUGGCCCAACCAACAGCUUGUCUGCAACUUCAUGAGAGACCUUGACUCAGAAGCACUCAAUUAACUCAUGAAAACUACUCCAGUAUGAACAGUGAAUGUAAUUUAAUGUGUCAUGGAAAUGCAGAGCUGUAGAACUGAUUAUUAUGCCCAGUAUAAAUGGAAGAGCUCUAAUCUACAAGUGGAGGUGAAGCAUCCCCAGUGGCCAGGAGGACAACCUUGGCCGGUUACCUUUCCUAGAAGAAGGUAUUGAAGUGCUAAGAUGAGGACUUCCACACAUUUCUGCUCAGGCAACACCACCCACCAUCAAUUGAGUUAAUGCCCAUCCCUAAAUGUGUGUAACAAGGGCGAAGAGAAUUUUUUCUUUCUCUGUCAUGCUCACUUCCCACUUACCUGCUAGACUAAGAGUAUACUAGCUAUUAUUUAGACAUAUAGUUUUUAAUAAUAUUCAUUUUCAUACAACAUGACCACAAAGAAGAAACUGUUAUAUCUUAUAAUCGAAGAAAAUCUAACUCUGGAGAAGCUACUGAGAAAUGGUACAUCUGCAUUAUGCUUUAUGGGUGAUUUAAAGGAUUUUCAAAUAUUAUUCCGACUACAGGUAAAAUAACUGUAUAAUUUAUCAUACAAAUUUGAAAGCAUUUGAGUCAGACAGGAUAUUAAUGAUAAUUAGGCUGAAAUGACAGGCAUAAAUGAAGAGCCUCCUGCUAAAUUAAAAUGUAGUACCAUCCUAAAUAUUAUGGGCUGAACUGUGUUUCCCUCAAAUUUAUAUGUUGAAGUUCUAAGUCUCUGAUAUGGUUUGGCUGUGUCCCCACCCAAAUCUCACCUUGAAUUGUAAUAAUCCCCACAUGUCAUAGGAGGAACCUGGUGGGAGGUAAUUGAAUCAUGGGGGCUAGAUUUUCCCAUGCUGUUCUAUUGAUAGUGAGUAAGUCUCAUGAGAUCAGAUGGUUUUAUAAAGAGCAGUUUCGCUACACAUGCUCCCUCUUGCCUGCUGCCAUAUAAGACAUGCCUUUGGUUUUCCUUCACCUUCCACCAUGAUUGUGAGGCUUCCCCAGACAUGCAGAACCAUGAGUCCAUUAAACUUAUUUUUCUUUAUAUAUUACCCAGUCUUGAAUAUGUCUUUAAAUAGCAGUGUGAGAACAUACUAAUACAGUUUCCAUAGUCUCCAUACCUCAGAAUAUGACUAUAUUUUAGAAUAGGGCAUUUAAAAGAUAGUUAAGGUGAAAUGAGAUCAUGAGUGUUGGCCCUAAUCCAAUAUGGUUGGUGUCCUUAUAAGAAAAGGAAAUUAGGACACAGACAUGCACAUGCACAGAGGUAAGACCAUUUGAAGACAAUUUGAGAUUAUGACCAUCUACAAGGCAAGGACAAAAGUCCCAGAAGAACUCUAACCUGCAGACACCUAAAUUUUGGACUUCCAGCCUCCAGAACAUGGAGAAAAUUAAUUUCCAUUGUUUAAGCCAGCCAGUCUGUGGUAUUUUUUGAUCGCAGCUAUAGCAAACUAACACACUAAUGAUAGUGAUUUUCAUUGUAACCAUCAGCCUUGAAACUAAUCACAUCAUAAGAUGAGGCUCUGCCAUAACAUCAGUUAAGUCCUGAGGCCAUUAGGUUGAAUAAUUGAUAAACUGCUUGAAGCAUGACCCUACAAGUAGCCCUAACCAUCCAUCUCAAGGCAGAGAUAUUUAUCCCCCUUGUUUUAUUGCCUAACAGCACUAAAAAAAGAAAAAAAUCUUGGUUCUGUUCCAAGAUGGCCGAAUAGAAACAGCUCCGGUCUGCAGCUCCCAGUGUGAUCGACGCAGAAGAUGGAUGACUUCUGCAUUUCCAACUGAGGUACCUGGUUCAUCUCAUUGGGACUGAUUGGACAGUGGGUGCAGCCCACAGAGGGCAAGCCAAAGCAGGUUGGGACGUCACCUCACCCAGGAAGCGCAAGGGGUCAGGGCAUUUCCCUUUGCUAGCCAAAGGAAGCCGUG